rnacentral:tRNA from 1 species
CGAUAGCUCAGUGGGUAGAGCAAGAGACUUUUAAUCUUAGGGUCAUGGGUUCAAGCCCCACAAUGGGUGAAAGA